rnacentral:misc_RNA from 1 species
UUUCCGUAGGUGAACCCGCGGAAGGAUCAUUCAUAAUAAGUGUUUUAUGGCACUUUUUUAAACCCAUAUCCACCUUGUGUGCAAUGUCAGGGUUGAUUUUUCUCUCGAGAGGAUCAACCCCAAACAUCAACUAUAUCUCAACUCUUUGUCUGAAAAAUAUUAUGAAUAAAACAAUUCAAAAUACAACUUUCAACAACGGAUCUCUUGGCUCUC